rnacentral:rRNA from 1 species
CCUACGGGUGGCAGCAGUGGGGAAUAUUGGACAAUGGGGGGAACCCUGAUCCAGCGACGCCGCGUGAGUGAAGAAGUAUUUCGGUAUGUAAAGCUCUAUCAGCAGGGAAGAAAGGAAUGACGGUACCUGACUAAGAAGCCCCGGCUAACUACGUGCCAGCAGCCGCGGUAAUCCGGAGGGGGCACGCGUUAUCCGGAUUUACGGGGUGUAAAGGGAGCGUAGACGGUUACGCAAGUCUGGAGUGAAAGGCGGGGGCGCAAACCGCGGACUGCUUUGGAAACUGGAUAACUGGAGUGCAGGAGAGGUAAGUGGAAUUCCUAGUGUAGCGGUGAAAUGCGUAGAUAUUAGGAGGAACACCAGUGGCGAAGGCGGCUUACUGGACUGUAACUGACGUUGAGGCUCGAAAGCGUGGGGAGCAAACAGGAUUAGAUACCCCAGUAGUC